rnacentral:RNase_P_RNA from 1 species
AAGCCAAACCGGUUCAUCGCUUGUAGACUUACUGCAAGAGGAAAGUCCGGACAGCAUAGAGCAGCAUGCUUCCUAACGGGAAGGCUUCUANUNUAGAAGACAGCNAGUGCCACAGAAAUAAACUUCCAACGUUUUGUUGGUAAAGGUGAAAAGGUGAGGUAAGAGCUCACCGUGCUAGUGGNGACACUAGUAGCAAGGUAAACCUCAUGUGCUGAAAGACCAAAUAAACCAGGGCUACAAUUUUUGUUGUAGAGUUGCUCGCUCAAUCCUGGAGGGUAGGUUGCUCGAGCUAUUUAGUGAUAAAUAGCCUAGAUAAAUGAUGAACUUCGACAGAAUCCGGCUUACAGGUUUGGCUUUUUU